ensembl:lncRNA
CUGACCCCUAGCUAGGGCUGGGAAUUCCCAAACUUCCUGUUCCAGACAGAAGAGAACUUCCUUUCACCAUCACAAGGUGAUCCAUCCCAUGGUUUUGUCCAAACUCACAGGACAGUUCAGCAACAAAGGUGUAUGUGACCUGAAGUUCAUCAAGGCCAGGACCUCUUUUCUGACAGUAAUCAAUACCAGAAGCACCACUGGGAAGCAUAGAAGUCUGUAGCGGGGAGGAAUGUCCACAGGUUUGGUACCUUUCCCUCCAUAGAGCCCUUCAUUGAAGAUUUCUGCCAUGUGAACAAAGUUUCAUUAACAUUCACUCUCCAG